rnacentral:misc_RNA from 1 species
AAGGAGUUUUACGUGUGUGCGUGUGUGUGGGUAGAAAACUCAUGCGCGAAAUGAAAGUGAUCGUAACGACCCGCAAGGGACAGUUAUGACCGACCUUGAUCUUAGGUGAUAGGUUUGAGUAUGAGCACAGCCCUAGAGACCCGAAAGAUGGUGAACUUUGCCUGAGUAGGGUGAAGCCAGGGGAAACUCUGGUGGAGGCUCGUAGCGAUUCUGACGUGCAAAUCGAUCGUCAAAUCUGGGUAAAGGGGCGAAAGACUAAUCGAACCAUUUAGUAGCUGGUUCCUCC